CGGCGGGGCUGGGGGGAAGGACGGCGAGGGGCCGUGACGUGUACAGCGGGCAGCAGCACGGCCGUACAGCGGGCAGCACCACGGCCGUACAGCGGGCACGGCCAGUGCGGGGCUCCACCUCACCUUCCUCCCGCGGAACAGGAGCGUAGAAACAGUCGAAGACCCAUUAACUUCAAUAUGCAGCAACACCAGGAGCUUCUGAUUUGUGGAACCCUGAGUCAAGGGGGGAAAAGGAGGUUUUGCCUCCUGCAAGACUGGCCCUGUGCGACGUUGCUUCACCCUGAUCACACAGAGCAAGGAGCACAGACUGGCCUUCAUGUGCACCAGCCUACCCUGCACCAAGCCUUUACGUGUGCAUGGCUACAUGUAGAGCACAAUACAUCCAUCCCCACUGCGUGGACCUGGCACUGAAAGCCUGUUGGGGUAGGAUUUGACCAGGAGCCUCUCAUACACUUCUUCCCUUACUGAGCUGUAGAAACAGUGACAUCUAGUAAAGCAGUACCAGCCAGCCUUGAGGGUAAGUCAAAGAGCAGCCACAGAGCUGUAACUGAGAGCAGGGACACCGCUGUUCUUUGCCUUCUCCACCCCAAACCCACGAUGCCACAAGCUUAAAUUUGCUACAAGUUGAUGCAGGAGUGGCCAUACAGGGAAAGACAUGCAGUCCCAUAUGUCUCCACCAGUGCAGUACUGCUGCAGUGAGACCUCCACUGUGCUGCGUGCGGUGCCACAGGGCUUCUCUGCACCUCAGCUUCACUUUGUGCUUAACAGCCUGUGAUUAUUUUUUGGCUAAAAAUAAAGUGCUCUGAGGUCCAGGAAGAAUAAACCAUUGUUCUAUGCCAAGAAGAAGUGCUGACUUUGUGUGUCAGUUCAGAGUUAUUCUUGGUAAUGAAUUAGUCCUUGUUCAGACCACAACUGUCCACCAGAUAACCAACAGCUUUGCCUGUCCACCUCUU